AAAAAUUGAGGUAUUCAUUACCUCUUUGUAUUCAAAACCUUACACUAUAAAACCUAAAAAUUUUAAAAAUAAAUGAA
rnacentral:misc_RNA from 1 species